CUCGGGUGGGAGAAAUCAAUAGGCGAAUAUCACAGCCAAUCACAACACUGGCGGGAAAAGCUGAAGCUGGACCUAAAGCCUCUGCAGGACAAGCUGAAGAUAUGUACUGAGACAGAGAGGAAAUAGAAGCAUAUUGCUCAACACACAAAGAAAGACACAAUUGGUGGACACUGAGUGGCAGAUAAAGGAGGAGUUUAAGAAGCUCCACCCAUUUCUGAGAGAUGAAGAGAAGGCCAGACUAGGUGAACUGAGGAAGGAAGAGGACCACAGAAAUGAAGAUCAUUCAAGACCAAAUCUCACCUCUUACAAAGAGUAUCACUACUUUGGAACAAGGCUUAAAGAAGCAGGAUUUGCGCUUUCUGAAGAGCUACAAAAGCAUCCAAAUGAGUUGUAGGGCCCAGCUGCAGUGCACACCACAGGAUCCAAAGAUUCUAUCGGGAGUGCUCAUAGAUGUGGCCAAACACCUGGGUAAUCUCAAAUUUAGACUCUGGAAGAAGAUGCUGGUGAUUGUUAACCACACUCCUGUGAUUCUGGAACCCAACACUUCUCCCAUCUUUCUCACUUUGUCUGAUGAUCAGUGUGUGAAACACAGGCAUGCAGCAGAAGCUGCCAGAUAAUCCGGACCGAUGCACGUUUAACGCAAAUGUUUUGGGUUCUGAAGGGUUCACCUCAGGAAAGCACAGCUGGGAGGUAGAGGUGGGGAACCACCCCAGCUGGAAUUUGGGUGUGGCUAAAGAGUCAAUCAACAGAAAAGAUAGGACAUUCGCAAAACCGAAAUAUGGAAUCUGGGCUCUAGGUUUGGAAAAUAUUGAGUAUACAGAUCCAGAGGCUAAGCUUCUUGCUCUGAAGAGGAGAGCCCAAAGGAUUAUGGUGCAACUCGACUACAGCGGAGGGGAAUUGUCCUUCUAUGACCCCCGUGACAUGUCCCAAAUCUACACUCACAAAGACACAUUCAAUGAAAGACUCUUCCCAUACUUCUCUAUUGGAAAAUGUAAAGACGCCAGUGAACCUGGAUUCAUCCAGAUCUUCCCGUCAAAGGUGUCUCUAAAAGUGAUGUCAUCGUCAAGUUAACGGAGGUAUUUUUCAAAGGUAAAAGAAAGUAUCUUAGAAAGCCUUUCUAGUGGGAUAUGGGAUGUCAUUCCUUGUAAAGAUUCAAUAAAAAUGUGAUGAAAUGUAGUAUUUCAUAUUUUGUAGAAAUUC